CAAAGUAAUAGGCUUUAUGAAGAAAUUAAAACAACAUAAUGAUAUCUCCGAAGUAUUCAAGACAAAGACAUCUCCAAAGACAAGUCUGGCUCUAGGCAAGAGGGCUGAAUUAGUGAGCCUAGUGUUCUCUGGGCCCCCUUCCUACAUUGUUAAUUCAGGUGCCAUCCACACGACAGGCAAGAUGGUCACUGGCAGCCCCAAAUUUACGUCCUACCAGUUUGGCAAGAAAUCAUCCCUCUCUCAAAUCCAAAUUAAAAGUCCAAGGAAGGAAUCUAACUGGUCCAGCUUAUGUCACAUGUUUCUCCCUGAACCAAUCAUUGUGGCCCAUUGAAUGAGCUGCUCUGAUUCGCCAGACUGUACACUCUGUGAUAGUAGAAGUGGAUUGGGACUGGUGUGGUGCCGUCAUGGAGAGUUCUGAUACAAAAGAAGAGGGAGAGGAUCCUGAGCAGGUCAGAACUCCAGAUGUCCAUGUGACAGGCCAUGGCGUGAGAGAAGGUUCAUCUUUGCUAAGCUGCUGGCUCCUGCCAGGGGAUGCAAUAGGUGGAAUGUUCAGGAAGACAGAGGGAACUAUUUCACAAGCAGCAAGACCUCAGGCAGAAGCAAUGUUUGAAACAAUGGCUGCUUCCAAGACCAGCCUUUCCCAUGCUCAGGGGUGGAGGGGCUAUUCAACCAAUUGCCUGUGUCUGUUGCCAGGGGCAACAGCCAAAUCCAUAGACUCCCUUGUAGGAAGCCCCCACUUGUUUUAGUUCACUGGCUCAAAGACAUAUGUGUCCCUCCUCUCAUCUCUCCUUGAUCAUCCAUGCAGGAUUCUUAUUUAAUUGGAUGCUGGCAUUUCCCUCUGCUUUUUUUGAUCUUGUUUAAAGGGAAACUUAUCCUGGUUCUUAACAAUCAGACCAUUUGGUGAAACUGGCAGUGCUGUGGAUUCAAAAAGACCUUGAAUAGAAUUCUAGCUGUACCACUUCACCAGUGUGCGAUCUUGGACAAAUUACUCGGCUUCUUUGGAUCUUUCUUUUCUCAAUGGUAAAAACUGGGUAGGUGUCAUCUGUAUUACAGAAUUAUUGUGAGGAUGAAGUUGGAAAGUACAUACAAGGCACAUGGCAUAAGAUUUGACAUUUGCUAGGCCUUUAACAAAUAGUGGUUCUGAUGUUAUUGUGAUGAUGAGGAAAAUAAGGAUGAUGAUCAUGAUGUCACCAGAUCAAUGCUAAACUGUUGACACUAUCAGUCUUCUAUUCUUUGU
rnacentral:lncRNA from 1 species